UUUUUUUUUAUGAAUAUGUUAUAUCUGAUAAUUUAUUUUUCACAUUUAAAUUUUAAUUAUAUAAUUCAAUGAAUGUUUUUAUAGUUUAAUAGCCAAAGAGAAAUCUAUACUGGAAGUAAAUUUGACUGGGCCACAAAUGGGCCAUUUAAAACAUGCCUAGAAAAGGCUUGUAUAUGAGACUGAUGUUGUGUAUGAGACUGAUGUGGUUUUAUUUGAACUAUGUUGUAAAUAAAGGAUUGAGUCUAUAUAUAUAUAUAGAAGAAGAAACUAACCGUUAGUCUUAGAAGUUAAUGGUGUUUGCUGAUGUUCCUAACGGUUAUUUAAUAUGGUCUCUCUAUUGGGACCGGAAGAAAUUAAAUUCUAUAGUAAAGGAGAGUAAAUUAAAUGUUUUGUUAAUAAUUCUGUUGGUUUUAGUUACACUACCAUGAAUAUGUAAAUCAAACAAUUGGAUAAGAGGGUAGUCAUAUUCUUGAUUUUCUUCAUAUUUUGCUCACUAAUUUGAUAACCUAACUCUAAAUACAAAAUUACUUUGAUGAACUAAUCUUUAUGUAAACUAAAACAUAUCUCAGUUUUGGAAUUAAUUAAAGUAAAGAUGAAAUAUAUGAUAUGUGGUUUAGCAUAUCAUACGAUAUUAACUCUAUUUUAAUGGAAAAAUCGUCAAAAUAGCCUAGUCACUAAUCUUAUGUGUCGCACUAUAAGUUAUAUCCGGCUUUAGCAUAUCAAUACAAUACUAAAAGGGGAAUACCCUCAAAUUCUAAGCUGUCCACGUCAUCAAAAAUAUUCAACCAAUCAAAACAUUUCAUUUUUGGAUAUGGGCUUAAAAUUUGUUUAGAAUGGACUUAGGUGUGUGGGUUUUGUUUGGUUUAGGUUUGGGCUUUUUUUCAUCUGUCGAUCUUUCCAAAACGUCUGCCGAUCUGAAGCUUUAAAUCAGCUUAUCAUGGUCUCAUAAACCAUGAGUUUUUCUUUCUUCCUCGAGUCUGCAGUCUCCUCCUACGACGCCGCUUUGCAUUCUCCGGUCAGAUUAUGAAUACGACGGAUCCACAUUUAAUCACUAACGCCACUCAAGAGUUAGUUUUUUUUUUUUUGCAGAUUCAACACAAUCGUCAAUACCAAAGCUUCAGGAAAGGAAAUUAAAGGAAACUAUCUCAAAUAGGGACAAAGUUGGUCGAAAUGUUAAUCCAUGGGUUUAAGGUUUGAUCCAGUCGUAUCAGUGUUGGAUUAGUUUGUUACACAAGAAGAUACAAUAAAGCUAAUCUAGAGUCGUAUCGGUGUAUAGCUUCUGAAGCGUAUCUCCUGCUCUCUAAUUUCUCCGACCACGUUAAAUAGGUUGAUUAGGAAAGGGAUCCCGCCGGUAUUAAGGUAAAAAGUUUGCCUUUUAUUUCUGAUGCUGCCAAGAAAAGUCCACCGCCCUAGAGAAUUAUUACAGUGAUUUGAGCAGGCCGAAAAGGAAAGACCACAUUGACAACACAGCAGAUUGAUCGUGUGAGACUGAUCUUAUCUGAAGUCUCAAUUUUUUUUUUUGUUCUUCAAAAAAAUUGAUGUAUUUUAUAUUCAGUUAAUUUUCAAGGAUAUAUUGGUGUUGUAUAAUUGGUUAUAAGCUCUGUUUCAUAUUGUAAUUUUAUGUAGUCUCAAAAGCAUUGUGAAAACAAGAUGCUA